ACCAACCUUCCAUCUCCAUCAGCCCAAAAAUUGCACACAUCAUGUUUGAGCUUUGUUCAACUUUAGUGUGAAUAAAACUGCAUUAUCAUAUCAAUCAGGUUGAUUCUUUUCUCAGAGAAUAUUAUUAUUUUUUUCUAUAUUUCUCAUAUUAAUUCUCCAGCAAAUCUUCUACUCUUCUACUCUAUAAUUCUCUCUCUAAUUCUGUAUCGAAAAUGAUGAGUGAUGUAUUGGAAAUAUUGUAUUUUCAUAUAUACAAGGGGCAGCCUGGGAGUGGCAGCCUGGGAGUGGGCAAACGCGCCUCGAAAUCCGAGGCGCAGAUGUACAUCUAAUUCCACGUUAUCUUAACCGAGGGCUAAACCCUUCAGACCAUCAAGGUGGAAUGCACAAAAACGGACCUCGAGCUUUUGUAGCUGAGGGUGCAAUGGGUGGGCAAGCGCUCAGCUAGUUAUCCAGCGCAAUAUCUACUAGUGUUCUUAUGGGGGCCUAGUUGAUAUGGAGCAGGUGGAUAGCUAGAGAUAUCUAUUCUUAAUGAAUUCUGAGAUUGUCAAGAUCCAGCUAGUUUUUCCGCUGCACACAAUGCAAAAUCAGCAGUAGUCUCAUUACAGUGGUAUAUACAUUCUUAAGCUUGUUCGGUGUGAUCUCUAUGUAUGCAUAUACAUCAAGAGAUUAGCUUAGUAUAUGUUAUAUCUAUAUCCACGGAAAUCAAUAGCUGAGUAUAGCGUGAGCUGUGUAUAUCUGUGUACAUCUUUGACACCCGUGAAUCUUCAUGCCAUUUGCAUAAUCACAGUGACUUGGUGCAGAGAAUUAAAUUUGCUGAUGAAGACUAAAACGAAGUG
rnacentral:sRNA from 2 species